GGGGACAUAGCUCAGUUGGUAGAGCACUUGUCUCACAUGCACAAGGCCCUGGGUUCAAUCCCCAACACCACCA
rfam:Ictidomys tridecemlineatus contig090809, whole genome shotgun sequence.